AUUGAACGCUGGCGGCAUGCCUUACACAUGCAAGUCGAACGGCAGCACGGGAGCAAUCCUGGUGGCGAGUGGCGAACGGGUGAGUAAUACAUCGGAACGUGCCCAAUCGUGGGGGAUAACGCAGCGAAAGCUGUGCUUAAUACCGCAUACGAUCUACGGAUGAAAGCAGGGGAUCGCAAGACCUUUGCGCGAAUGGGGGCGGCCGAUGGGCAGAUUAGGUAGUUGGUGAGGUAAAGGCUCACCAAGCGGUCGAUCUGUAGCUGGUCUGGAGAGGGCCGACCAGCCACACUGGGACUGAGACACGGCCCAGGACUCCUAACGGGGGGGCAGCAGGGGGGGAAUUUUGGACAAUGGGCCGAAAGCUUGAUCCAGCCCAUGCCGCGUGCGUGAAGAAGGGCUUCCGGAUUGUAAAGCACUUUAAGUUGGGAGGAAAGGGUUUAGGAUAAUAACUUUGCAUUUUUGACGUAACCGCAGAAUAAGCACCCGCCUAACUCUGUGCAACAGGCGCGGUAAUACAGAGGGUCAAACUUUAAUCGAAUUACUGGGCGUAAAGCGCGCGUGGUGGUAGUAAGUUGGAUGUGAAUCCCCGGGUCAACUGGGAACUGCUUCAAAACUGACUGACUAGAGAUGUAGAGGGUGUGGAAUUUCCUGUGUAGCGGUGAAAGCGUAGAUAUAGGAAGGAACACCAGUGGCGAAGCGACCACCUGGACUGAUACUGACACUGAGGUGCGAAGCUGGGAGGAAACAGG
rnacentral:rRNA from 1 species